rnacentral:rRNA from 2 species
AGGUGGGAGGCUUUGAGUAUAUGACGCCAGUUGUAUAUGAGCCAUUGUUGAGAUACCACUCUUUCUUAUUUGGGUAGCUAACCAGCUUGAGUUAUCCUCAAGUGGGACAAUGUCUGGUGGGUAGUUUGACUGGGGCGGUCGCCUCCCAAAUAAUAACGGAGGCUUACAAAGGUUGGCUCAGAACGGUUGGAAAUCGUUCGUAGAGUAUAAAGGUAUAAGCCAGCUUAACUGCAAGACAUACAAGUCAAGCAGAGACGAAAGUCGGUCUUAGUGAUCCGGUGGUUCUGUGUGGAAGGGCCAUCGCUCAAAGGAUAAAAGGUACCCCGGGGAUAACAGGCUGAUCUCCCCCAAGAGCUCACAUCGACGGGGAGGUUUGGCACCUCGAUGU